UACGUAGGUGGCAAGCGUUGUCCGGAAUUAUUGGGCGUAAAGCGCGCGCAGGCGGUCCUUUAAGUCUGAUGUGAAAGCCCACGGCUCAACCGUGGAGGGUCAUUGGAAACUGGGGGACUUGAGUGCAGGAGAGAAGAGUGGAAUUCCACGUGUAGCGGUGAAAUGCGUAGAGAUGUGGAGGAACACCAGUGGCGAAGGCGACUCUUUGGCCUGUAACUGACGCUGAGGCGCGAAAGCUAGGGGAGCGAACAGG
rnacentral:rRNA from 1 species